rnacentral:rRNA from 2 species
UUAAGUUAUUAAGGGCGCACGGUGGAUGCCUUGGCACUAGAAGCCGAUGAAGGACGUUACUAACGACGAUAUGCUUUGGGGAGCUGUAAGUAAGCUUUGAUCCAGAGAUUUCCGAAUGGGGAAACCCAGCAUGAGUUAUGUCAUGUUAUCGAUAUGUGAAUACAUAGCAUAUCAGAAGGCACACCCGGAGAACUGAAACAUCUUAGUACCCGGAGGAAGAAAAAGAAAAUUCGAUUCCCUUAGUAGCGGCGAGCGAAACGGGAAGAGCCCAAACCAACAAGCUUGCUUGUUGGGGUUGUAGGACACUCUAUACGGAGUUACAAAGGACGACAUUAGACGAAUCAUCUGGAAAGAUGAAUCAAAGAAGGUAAUAAUCCUGUAGUCGAAAAUGUUGUCUCUCUUGAGUGGAUCCUGAGUACGACGGAACACGUGAAAUUCCGUCGGAAUCUGGGAGGACCAUCUCCUAAGGCUAAAUACUCUCUAGUGACCGAUAGUGAACCAGUACCGUGAGGGAAAGGUGAAAAGCACCCCGGAAGGGGAGUGAAAUAGAACCUGAAACCGUGUGCUUACAAGUAGUCAGAGCCCGUUAAUGGGUGAUGGCGUGCCUUUUGUAGAAUGAACCGGCGAGUUACGAUUUGAUGCAAGGUUAAGCAGUAAAUGUGGAGCCGUAGCGAAAGCGAGUCUGAAUAGGGCGUUUAGUAUUUGGUCGUAGACCCGAAACCAGGUGAUCUACCCUUGGUCAGGUUGAAGUUCAGGUAACACUGAAUGGAGGACCGAACCGACUUACGUUGAAAAGUGAGCGGAUGAACUGAGGGUAGCGGAGAAAUUCCAAUCGAACCUGGAGAUAGCUGGUUCUCUCCGAAAUAGCUUUAGGGCUAGCCUCAAGUGAUGAUUAUUGGAGGUAGAGCACUGUUUGGACGAGGGGCCCCUCUCGGGUUACCGAAUUCAGACAAACUCCGAAUGCCAAUUAAUUUAACUUGGGAGUCAGAACAUGGGUGAUAAGGUCCGUGUUCGAAAGGGAAACAGCCCAGACCACCAGCUAAGGUCCCAAAAUAUAUGUUAAGUGGAAAAGGAUGUGGCGUUGCCCAGACAACUAGGAUGUUGGCUUAGAAGCAGCCAUCAUUUAAAGAGUGCGUAAUAGCUCACUAGUCGAGUGACACUGCGCCGAAAAUGUACCGGGGCUAAACAUAUUACCGAAGCUGUGGAUUGUCCUUUGGACAAUGGUAGGAGAGCGUUCUAAGGGCGUUGAAGCAUGAUCGUAAGGACAUGUGGAGCGCUUAGAAGUGAGAAUGCCGGUGUGAGUAGCGAAAGACGGGUGAGAAUCCCGUCCACCGAUUGACUAAGGUUUCCAGAGGAAGGCUCGUCCGCUCUGGGUUAGUCGGGUCCUAAGCUGAGGCCGACAGGCGUAGGCGAUGGAUAACAGGUUGAUAUUCCUGUACCACCUAUAAUCGUUUUAAUCGAUGGGGGGACGCAGUAGGAUAGGCGAAGCGUGCGAUUGGAUUGCACGUCUAAGCAGUAAGGCUGAGUAUUAGGCAAAUCCGGUACUCGUUAAGGCUGAGCUGUGAUGGGGAGAAGACAUUGUGUCUUCGAGUCGUUGAUUUCACACUGCCGAGAAAAGCCUCUAGAUAGAAAAUAGGUGCCCGUACCGCAAACCGACACAGGUAGUCAAGAUGAGAAUUCUAAGGUGAGCGAGCGAACUCUCGUUAAGGAACUCGGCAAAAUGACCCCGUAACUUCGGGAGAAGGGGUGCUCUUUAGGGUUAACGCCCAGAAGAGCCGCAGUGAAUAGGCCCAAGCGACUGUUUAUCAAAAACACAGGUCUCUGCUAAACCGUAAGGUGAUGUAUAGGGGCUGACGCCUGCCCGGUGCUGGAAGGUUAAGAGGAGUGGUUAGCUUCUGCGAAGCUACGAAUCGAAGCCCCAGUAAACGGCGGCCGUAACUAUAACGGUCCUAAGGUAGCGAAAUUCCUUGUCGGGUAAGUUCCGACCCGCACGAAAGGCGUAACGAUUUGGGCACUGUCUCAACGAGAGACUCGGUGAAAUCAUAGUACCUGUGAAGAUGCAGGUUACCCGCGACAGGACGGAAAGACCCCGUGGAGCUUUACUGUAGCCUGAUAUUGAAAUUCGGCACAGCUUGUACAGGAUAGGUAGGAGCCUUUGAAACGUGAGCGCUAGCUUACGUGGAGGCGCUGGUGGGAUACUACCCUAGCUGUGUUGGCUUUCUAACCCGCACCACUUAUCGUGGUGGGAGACAGUGUCAGGCGGGCAGUUUGACUGGGGCGGUCGCCUCCUAAAAGGUAACGGAGGCGCUCAAAGGUUCCCUCAGAAUGGUUGGAAAUCAUUCAUAGAGUGUAAAGGCAUAAGGGAGCUUGACUGCGAGACCUACAAGUCGAGCAGGGUCGAAAGACGGACUUAGUGAUCCGGUGGUUCCGCAUGGAAGGGCCAUCGCUCAACGGAUAAAAGCUACCCCGGGGAUAACAGGCUUAUCUCCCCCAAGAGUUCACAUCGACGGGGAGGUUUGGCACCUCGAUGUCGGCUCAUCGCAUCCUGGGGCUGUAGUCGGUCCCAAGGGUUGGGCUGUUCGCCCAUUAAAGCGGUACGCGAGCUGGGUUCAGAACGUCGUGAGACAGUUCGGUCCCUAUCCGUCGUGGGCGUAGGAAAUUUGAGAGGAGCUGUCCUUAGUACGAGAGGACCGGGAUGGACAUACCUCUGGUGUACCAGUUGUCGUGCCAACGGCAUAGCUGGGUAGCUAUGUGUGGACGGGAUAAGUGCUGAAAGCAUCUAAGCAUGAAGCCCCCCUCAAGAUGAGAUUUCCCAACUUCGGUUAUAAGAUCCCUCAAAGAUGAUGAGGUUAAUAGGUUCGAGGUGGAAGCAUGGUGACAUGUGGAGCUGACGAAUACUAAUCGAUCGAAGACUUAAUCAA